AGUGGAAUUGCUGGGUCAUAUAGUAAUUUAAUGUUUAGUUUUUUGAGGAACCAUCAAACUCUUUUCCAUAGUGGCUGCACUAUUUUACAUUCCCACCAGCAAU
rnacentral:pre_miRNA from 1 species